rnacentral:lncRNA from 1 species
UGGAAUCAGAAACAAGACUCUCAGUCAACAUAGUACCAGCAAAAUUAGCAGCACACAUGGGAAAGGAAGUUUGAUCACUGGAAUCCCUUGACUUGGUCUGUUGCAACAAGCUUAUCAGUUGAUCACAUUGCUGUCUGCUCAACUCUGGUAUCACAGACUGGUUGGCAGCAGGAUCCCCAAGAGGAACAGACAAGUCAGAAUUCCCAUGAUUAUCAGACACACAGUCAGGACCAGUGGAGACAUGAGCAGCUACAGAUUUCCUUCCCUUGGUAUAAUUGUUGCUUUGAGGAAACCCAUGGAGCUUGUAGCACUUAUCAAUUAAGUGCCCAGACUUCUUGCAGUAUCUGCAGAAUAAGGUUCCUCUGUUUCGCUCAAAAUUAACUCUGGGUCUGGAAAUAGGACCAGGCAGUUUGCCCUGGUUAGACCCAACUG